UAAUGCUUUCAGAUGCAUUGCCAGGGGAAAUAAAUUGGUGCCAAAACAUGAGUGGAUGGGUUGCGGAAGGUGUAUGAGAUAUUUACAUCCCUCUCAGUUGAUCCUGGGGUGAAAAAGUCUGCUAUGGACCAACUCGCCAUUAUACUGCAAGUCUAGAACACGAGUCGAGAGAAAGAUGUGACGCCGUGCCAUAGUGGUUGGCCGUGUUUAUGCAGCAGUACAGAUUCGUGGCGCUUCUCCUGGUGAUGUCCGACUUGUUGCCGGUCUUGGCAAAUCUGUCACUUGCACUGCAGGUAUGUUCAAGAAAUAGCAGUGGCAUUUUAACCUUGAGCAGCGAUUUCCACACAUCCCCGUGUUGGAAGCGUUCUGUGCAUGCAACCCUACCACCCUACCGGCCGGCGACCAAGCAGAGUAAAUUGACCAUUGCACAGACAUUCUUAGGUAAUUAAGUAGACUGUUAUUCACAGCGGAAGGGAUAUUCAUAACGGAAAUGAUCUGAAAAUACACAACAGUACAUGUGUUUCAAAAAUGCUAUUUUUUUUACUAAUAUUCAACAUAUUUAUAUAUAUAUAUAAAAACAUUCUCUUUUAAAAUUACUGUAUUGAAACAUGACAUGUGUAGUUCAAUAUGCAAAUAUAAGAUUCAUAUCUGACAUUGUUAUUUACAAUGCUGGCGGACCGAUUUACCCGCGUUCUUCCAGAUGCCAAUGAAGCCGCCACUGAAAAACGAGUGCUGAAAAACACUAUCACGCAGGACACGACACUCCGCCAGGCAACUACAACAGUCAUGAUGCUGAAGGUGUCCGGACCGUUGCGGGGUGCCAUGCCUAACCUAAGUUUAUUAGCUACUGCGGGCCUGUUUCUUCUGUAGUCAACAGCCGACUGCGAAUGAGGGUUCUCGACCUUGCUGUGUGUAAAAACGGCCCGACGUACUACGGAACAUACUACAGAAUCAAACGUUGAACGCCAUCUUACGGAUGUCUAUGGAGGACCCCACCGUUGCCAACUUUAUGGAGACUUGGGUCGAGCAGAUGGUGACAGAGUGGGGCAAGGACAGGCACAGGCUCCUUGUUUAGAUUAAAAGUUUUAUAUGUUGUCUGACAUUAUGUGUGUAGUCGCCGUGCAUACUGUCGCGUCAUCAUCAUCAUUAAUGUUGUAGCAUUCAUUUGUUCUAUUCUGUGUUUUUGUCAUAAUAUUAUUUAAUAAAUUAUAAUCACAUUUACAUUAAUA